rnacentral:rRNA from 1 species
AUGGCUCAGGACGAACGCUGGCGGCGUGCCUAAUACAUGCAAGUCGAACGGUCUUUCUAUGGAAGCUUGCUUCCACUGAGAAGAUAGUGGCGAACGGGUGAGUAACACGUGGGUAACCCGCCCAUAAGAGGGGGAUAACAUCCGGAAACGGGUGCUAAUACCGCAUAGUUUUCUUGAUCGCAUGAUCGGGAAAGGAAAGACGGCCUUUGUGCUGUCGCUUAUGGAUGGACCCGCGGCGUAUUAGUUAGUUGGUGAGGUAAUGGCUCACCAAGACGAUGAUACGUAGCCGACCUGAGAGGGUGAUCGGCCACAUUGGGACUGAGACACGGCCCAAACUCCUACGGGAGGCAGCAGUAGGGAAUCUUCCGCAAUGGACGAAAGUCUGACGGAGCAACGCCGCGUGAGUGAAGAAAAGGUUUUCGGAUCGUAAAACUCUGUUGUCAGAGAAGAACAAGUUGGAGAGUAACUGCUCCAGCCUUGACGGUAUCUGACCAGAAAGCCACGGCUAACUACGUGCCAGCCGCCGC